rnacentral:rRNA from 1 species
UACGUAGGGUGCGAGCGUUGUCCGGAAUUAUUGGGCGUAAAGAGCUUAUAGGCGGUUUGUCGCGUCUGCCGUGAAAAUCCGAGGCUCAACCUCGGACUUGCGGUGGGUACGGGCAGACUAGAGUGUGGUAGGGGAGACUGGAAUUCCUGGUGUAGCGGUGAAAUGCGCAGAUAUCAGGAGAAACACCGAUGGCGAAGGCAGGUCUCUGGGCCACUACUGACGCUGAGAAGCGAAAGCGUGGGGAGCGAACAGG